AUUGAACGCUGGCGGCAGGCUUAACACAUGCAAGUCGAGCGGGGUGAUGGUGCUUGCACUAUCACUUAGCGGCGGACGGGUGAGUAAUGCUUAGGAAUCUGCCUAUUAGUGGGGGACGACAUCUCGAAAGGGAUGCUAAUACCGCAUACGUCCUACGGGAGAAAGCAGGGGAUCACUUGUGACCUUGCGCUAAUAGAUGAGCCUAAGUCGGAUUAGCUAGUUGGUGGGGUAAAGGCCUACCAAGGCGACGAUCUGUAGCGGGUCUGAGAGGAUGAUCCGCCACACUGGGACUGAGACACGGCCCAGACGCCUACGGGAGGCAGCAGUUGGGAAUAUUGGACAAUGGGGGGAACCCUGAUCCAGCCAUGCCGCGUGUGUGAAGAAGGCCUUAUGGUUGUAAAGCACUUUAAGCGAGGAGGAGGCUCUUUUGGUUAAUACCCAAGAUGAGUGGACGUUACUCGCAGAAUAAGCACCGGCUAACUCUGUGCCAGCCGCCGCGGUAA
rnacentral:rRNA from 1 species